CCACCCAUUUUCCCGACGAAAAUGCCCAUUUAAGCAAAAAUCACCCAUUUUCUCUUCGAAAAUCCCACAUUGAAGUGAAAAUCACCCCUUUUCUCUUCAAAAAUCCCCCAUUUAAGUGAAAAUCACCUGUUUUCUCUUCGAAAAUCCCCCAUUUAACGACAACAAUUUUCAAAUCCAUUAACCGAAAAUCACCAUUUUCCCUUCAAAAAUCC
rnacentral:lncRNA from 7 species